AGCCUUGGAUCCUAUGUGGAGGCGGCUUGACGCAUACCACAGCCCCCAAGGCAACAACACCCUCCUGCUGCGGGAUGAUGUGCCAUACUACACCAUAAGGGCUGCUUAGGAAAGGCUGACCCACUACCCAGCUCCACAAGAGUUCACAAAGAUUACUUGCAAAUAUCUAGAGGCCUGGUGGAGAAGUGUGGCGUGAAGAGAGGAAGUGCUUGAGAGGACAAUCAGCCGAGAGAGGGGGAUGACGUAACAAAGGACCACCGUCCAUGACUUGACCCCAAGCUGAGUCGAGGAGCUUUAACUUCACAGGAACCCUGCGCCUGGUUCUCUGCCUCGCCAGCACAGCACCCAACUGUCCGUCCAGCCAGCUAUCCAGCAAUCUACCACUUCAUCCAUCCAUCCACCCAGCCAGCCAGCAAGGCCAGCCUCUGCCCAGAACUGGCAACCUGCAGGAGUCAUCAGGGUUAGUGCUCCUUUGGCACGCCUCUGUGCCAGAACCAUCUGCAAGCAUCUGGCAGGAACUUGUAAAUUUAUAGACCUGCACCUAAACCAAAGGCCAUAUAAUCAAAUGACAUUAUAACAAAAAGAGAAGUAAAAAGUGUGUGAACGAACUAGAGCUGUACAUAAACGCAAACUGUUGUUCAGAUGAGUCAAAA